rnacentral:rRNA from 1 species
UACGAAGGGGCUAGCGUUGUUCGGAAUUACUGGGCGUAAAGCGCGCGCAGGCGGUUCUCCAAGUCAGUGGUGAAAGCCCGGACUUAACUCCGGAACUGCCAUUGAAACUGUUUAGCUUGAGUAUGAGAGAGGUGAGUGGAAUUCCCGAGUGUAGAGGUGAAAUUCGUAGAUAUUGGGAAGAACACCGGUGGCGAAGGCGGCUCACUGGCUCGAUUACUGAGCUCAGGCGCGACAGCGUGGGGAUCAAACAGG